rnacentral:lncRNA from 1 species
GUUAUUUGCAGGAACCAGAUUACAUUUGUUACAGUGAGCAUAUUACUUUUGUAACAAAAGAAGAUAAAAAUUCAGUGUGAUACAUACAUUAACAGCAUGUAAGACUGAGGCUGUAUAGAGGAGAGCAUGAUUAACUCCACUGAUAUGUGUGUGUCGGGGGUGGUUUGGGGAGUGGUAUUAGAGAAUGCUUGAAAGAGAUUAUGAAAUAUGAGCACAGCAUUGUCCAGGGUAGAGAGGCAAAGUGGAAAAGGAAGAAAGGUACAGUCAAGGAGGACAAUGAGUACACUGCCGUACUCAUGAUUUUCACAACUGCUCUAUAUAAUUUGUAGACCAAAAAAAAGAAAGGCAAGCACGUAUAUAAAAGCAGGUUGUGGGCCAGGUGUGGUGGCUCACGCCUGUAAUCCCAGCACUUUGGGAGGCUGAGGCAGGCGGAUCACCUGAGGUCAGGAGUUCGAGACCAGCCUGGCCAACAUGGCAAAACCGUCUCUACUGAAAAUACAAAAAUUAGCGGGGCGUAGUGGCAUAUGCCUAUAAUCCCAGCUACUAGGGAGGCUGAGGCAGGAGAAUCGCCUGAAUCCAGGAAGUAGAGGUUGCAGUGAGCCGAGAUCAUGUCACUGCACUCUGGCCUGAGUGACAGACUGAGACACCAUCUCAAAAAAAAAUAAAAUAAAAUAAAAGCAGGAUGUGGCUAGGUGUGGCGGCUCACACCUGUAAUCUCAGAACAUCAGGGAGGCUGAGGCAUGUGGAACACCUGAGCCCAGGUGUUGGAGACUAGCCUGGGCAACACAGUGAGACCCUGUCUCUCUCUCUCUCUCUUAAAAAAAGAAAAAGCAGAAUGUGCCAAGGGAACCCUGAGUUAAUUUGACAUUUCUGGAACUUUGAAGUGUGAAGAGUGGCCAGGGUUUAGUAAGAGGGAAAGCAGGAGCCAGGCUGCUGAGGGCUUCUUGUACUGCCUGGUAGCACGAACACUGUUAUGUAGGACAAGGUGACCACUGAUGGGGUUGCAGCAGGAGAGUAACAUCAGCUAUGUGGAAGAUGGAUUGGAAAGAAGCAAAACUGGAAACUGGGGGGCCAUUUAAAUGAUAAGCUAUAAUGAAGACUGAAACUAGUGGCGGGGUAAAUUAGGAAAGCAGAUGGAUUUCAGAAGUAUUUCAGAGGAAAAUACACAAGACUUAGUGAUUCUCUGGAUAUGGGUGAUGUAUAGAGAGAGAUGUCUUGAUUGACUUCCAAACUUUUGGCUUUGGUAACUGGGAAGAUGGAGAUUACACCAGCCAAGGUAGAAAAUAUAGAUGAAAAAACAAGCUUAUGAAAAGGAGAAGCAGCAAGAGGGUAAGAGGAAACACAGAAGGGACAAGCCUGAUGGUGAUGGUAGAGGGGUAGUAGCAGAUGAUUUUGUUUUUGGAGAUGUUGAAGGUGAGAUGCCUGUGGGCCAUUAAGGAGGGCCAUUAAGGGAAGUUGCCCAGUUGGCCAUUAAGGCAAGUGGAUGUAUUAAGAUUAAUUGUUUUUUUUUCCCCCAUUGGUAGUGUAUUUAAAAAAACAAAACCCUGGCAUAGUGGCUCACUCCUGUAAUCCCAGCAAUUUGGGAGGCGGAGGUGGACGAAUCACUUGAGGUCAGAAGUUUGAGACCAGUCUGGCCAACGUGGUGAAAUCCCGUCUUUACUAAAAAUACAAAAAUUAGUUGGCUUGGUGGCACAGGCCUGUAGUCCCAGCUACUCAUGAGGCUGAGUAGCUGGGAUUACAGGCAUCUGCCACCAUGCCUUGUUAAUUUUU